AGUGAACGCUGGCGGUAGGCCUAACACAUGCAAGUCGAACGGCAGCACAGUAAGAGCUUGCUCUUACGGGUGGCGAGUGGCGGACGGGUGAGGAAUACAUCGGAAUCUACUUUUUCGUGGGGGAUAACGUAGGGAAACUUACGCUAAUACCGCAUACGACCUACGGGUGAAAGCAGGGGAUCUUCGGACCUUGCGCGAUUGAAUGAGCCGAUAUCGGAUUAGCUAGUUGGCGGGGUAAAGGCCCACCAAGGCGACGAUCCGUAGCUGGUCUGGGAGGAUGAUCAGCCACACUGGAACUGAGACACGGUCCAGACUCCUACGGGAGGCAGCAGUGGGGAAUAUUGGACAAUGGGCGCAAGCCUGAUCCAGCCAUACCGCGUGGGUGAAGAAGGCCUUCGGGUUGUAAAGCCCUUUUGUUGGGAAAGAAAAGCAGCAGGUUAAUACCCCGCUGUUCUGACGGUACCCAAAGAAUAAGCACCGGCUAACUUCGUG
rnacentral:rRNA from 1 species